AUCUCUUCGGAGUGAAGAAUCUCUGGAUUAGUGGCGGACGGGUGAGUAACGCGUGAGCAAUCUGCCUUACACAAAGGGAUAGCCUCGGGAAACCGGGAUUAGUACCAUAUGAUAUCUACAAGCCGCAUGGCCUAUAGAUUAAAGAAUUUCGGUGUAAGAUGAGCUCGCGUCCCAUUAAUUAGUUGGUGAGGGUAACGGCCCACCAAGAUAGCGAUGGGUAGCCGAUCUAAGAGGAUGACCGGCCACAUUGGAACUGAGAAACGGUCCAAACUCC
rnacentral:rRNA from 1 species